rnacentral:rRNA from 1 species
GAUGAACGCUGGCGGCGUGCUUAACACAUGCAAGUCGAACGAAGCGCUUGAAACGGAUUCUUCGGAUGAAGUUUCCUGUGACUGAGCGGCGGACGGGUGAGUAACGCGUGGGUAACCUGCCUCAUACAGGGGGAUAACAGUUAGAAAUGGCUGCUAAUACCGCAUAAGCGCACGGCAUCGCAUGAUGCAGUGUGAAAAACUCCGGUGGUAUGAGAUGGACCCGCGUUGGAUUAGCUAGUUGGCAGGGUAACGGCCUACCAAGGCGACGAUCCAUAGCCGGCCUGAGAGGGUGGACGGCCACAUUGGGACUGAGACACGGCCCAGACUCCUACGGGAGGCAGCAGUGGGGAAUAUUGCACAAUGGGGGAAACCCUGAUGCAGCGACGCCGCGUGAGCGAAGAAGUAUUUCGGUAUGUAAAGCUCUAUCAGCAGGGAAGAAAAUGACGGUACCUGACUAAGAAGCCCCGGCUAACUACGUGCCAGCCGCCGCGGUAA